ACACUCCUACGGGAGGCAGCAGUGGGGAAUUUUGGACAAUGGGCGAAAGCCUGAUCCAGCAAUGCCGCGUGAGUGAAGAAGGCCUUCGGGUUGUAAAGCUCUUUUGUCAGGGAAGAAACGGUGAAAGCUAAUAUCUUUUGCUAAUGACGGUACCUGAAGAAUAAGCACCGGCUAACUACGUGCCAGCAGCCGCGGUAAUACGUAGGGUGCAAGCGUUAAUCGGAAUUACUGGGCGUAAAGCGUGCGCAGGCGGUUUUGUAAGUCUGAUGUGAAAUCCCCGGGCUCAACCUGGGAAUUGCAUUGGAGACUGCAAGGCUAGAAUCUGGCAGAGUGGGGUAGAAUUCCACGUGUAGCAGUGAAAUGCGUAGAUAUGUGGAGGAACACCGAUGGCGAAGGCAGCCCCCUGGGUCAAGAUUGACGCUCAUGCACGAAAGCGUGGGGAGCAAACAGGAUUAGAAACCCUAGUAGUCCC
rnacentral:rRNA from 1 species